rnacentral:rRNA from 1 species
AUUGAACGCUGGCGGCAGGCCUAACACAUGCAAGUCGAACGAGUGGCGGACGGGUGUGUAAUGUAUGGGAAACUGCCCGAUGGAGGGGGAUAACUACUGGAAACGGUAGCUAAUACAGCAUACCAUCGGAUGUGCCCAGAUGGGAUUAGCUAGUAGGUGGGGUAACGGCGCACCUAGGAGAACAUCCCUAGCUGGUCUGAGAGGAUGACCAGCCACACUGGAACUGAGACACGGUCAAGAGUCCUACGGGAGGCAGCAGUGGGGAAUAUUGGGCAAUGGGCGAAAGCCUGAUGCAGCCAUGCCGCGUGUGUGAAGAAGGUCUUCGGAUUGUAAAGCACUUUAAGUUGGGAGGCGUUACCAACAGAAUAAGCACCGGCUAACUUCGUGCCAGCAGCCGCGGUAAUAC